UACGUAGGGUGCGAGCGUUAAUCGGAAUUACUGGGCGUAAAGCGUGCGCAGGCGGUUUUGUAAGCCAGGUGUGAAAUCCCCGGGCUUAACCUGGGAAUGGCAUUUGGGACUGCAAGGCUCGAGUGCGGCAGAGGAGACUGGAAUUCCUGGUGUAGCAGUGAAAUGCGUAGAUAUCAGGAGGAACACCGAUGGCGAAGGCAGGUCUCUGGACAGUUCCUGACGCUGAGGCACGAAGGUCAGGGGAGCAAACGGG
rnacentral:rRNA from 1 species